rnacentral:rRNA from 1 species
GACAGAGGAUGCAAGCGUUAUCCGGAAUGAUUGGGCGUAAAGCGUCUGUAGGUGGCUUUUAAGUCCGCCGUCAAAUCCCAGGCUCAACCCUGGACAGGCGGUGGAAACUACCAGCUGGAGUACGGUAGGGCAGAGGGAAUUCCGGUGGAGCGGUGAAUGCGCAGAUAUCAGGAGGAACACCGGUGGCGAAGGCGGGUCUCUGGCCGAUACUGACGCUGGAGGAGCGAAAGCGUGGGAGCGAACAGG